AGAGACCCCAGAGAGUGAUGUCACCUCCGAUGCCACUUCUCUGGCGGACACACCCCGUGAGAUGACACCUGAGAACGUAGAGGAGGCGUCUUCUCUAGAGGACUUCCUGAAGUCUCACCCUCAGAGAAAGCGCAUUAGGAAGUUCCUCAAACAAAUGAAUGUGACCAUAGAGGACCUGGAGGACAUGUCCUAUGCGUUCCUCCUGCCAGCGAUAGCUCUGUUAAGGAUCUCCA